AGAAAUCAUCAUAUUUUCCAUGCAUUUCACGUUAUAAGAGAAGAGAAGAAAGAAAGUUUUGCUUUCUUUACAAUUUGGUCCUUUCACCAAAAAUUUACCAUUUUCACUUAGAAAUCAAAGGAAUUUCCAUAGCUAUCAAGAGAGAAAGAUAACAAGGAGACUAUAGGAGCUAGAAUAUCAAGUUGGAUUCAAGAAAUAGAAGUUGGAGGAGAGAGAAAAUCAAGUUAAAGGUUGAAACCAAUAGGACAAGG
rnacentral:lncRNA from 1 species